rnacentral:rRNA from 1 species
CACGUAGGGUGCGAGCGUUGUCCGGAAUUAUUGGGCGUAAAGAGCUCGUAGGCGGUGUGUCGCGUCGGCCGUGAAAACCUGCAGCUUAACUGUGGGCUUGCGGUCGAUACGGGCAUCACUGGAGUUCGGCAGGGGAGACUGGAAUUCCUGGUGUAGCGGUGAAAUGCGCAGAUAUCAGGAGGAACACCUAUGGCGAAGGCAGCUCUCUGGGACGGUACUGACGCUGAGACGCGAAAGCGUGGGGAGCGAACAGG